AGGUCUUAGAAGGUCAUUUUGAACGGUCGGAUUGAUUGUACUUGUUGCUGUUCAGGUGAUAGGCACGUUUAGGUCCUCGAAGUAAACUAGUUACUAAGUUGACUAGUUUAUGAAGGGAUAGUUCGUCCGAUCAAGCUUGUACCUCUAACCCU
rnacentral:pre_miRNA from 1 species